CUCACACUUGGCGGUCCACGGCCUCGCAAUCCUUCUUUAUAUCCACGGGUGCUACAGCCUUGAGCCUCCCCGUCCCAUGUGCAUUCCAUCCAGCUUGCUCGUUGCUUCGCCUUUGCGCUCUGCGCCUCUGCUUUAGUCUCUAGUUGGCGGACGGCUGCGCUGUGCAGUCCGCGCUCUUCACCACAUCCCACCGCCUCCCCCGCCCCCGCAGACGCAAGAAACCGGCGGCCAUGGAUCCCCCGUCGGCUCAGGUGAUGUCGGCGACAAACGACUUCCAGGACAAGACCGUGGACGAGUGUUGCUCGUGCUGCUACGACUGCUGCUCCAGCAUCCUCGACUUCCUGUGCUGCUCGUCUUGAUCCGACCGGUGCGGCUCCGACCUGUCCCGGCGGAAAAUUCUCAAGGAAAGCGGAGGCCUCGCCAUCACUCAUCACUGAUCCUGAUUUUAGUCCUGGAGUUCGUAGAUUCCUUAGGUCAGCCUUCGGUGAUGGUAUCUUUGUAAGUUUGACUCUAUUCAUCGGUAAGGAAACUUGGAUCAGGUGCUGAAAUACCGUGUUAACCUUCAACCCUGCGGUGAUUUCCUCUCUAGAAAAUUUACCGUGCAUGUAGGCAGAUGGAAUAGCUGUUUGGAGUUCUUACCCGUGACUGCGCUCGUAUUUGACAUA